CUGGGCUUAAAGCGUGUGUAGGCGGGUCGUUAAGUACCUUGUGAAAUCCCACGGCUCACCCGUGGAACUGCUGGGUAUACUGGCGAUCUUGGGCCAACUAGGGGCAACUGGAACAAACGGUGGAGCGGUGAAAUGCGUAGAUAUCGUUUGGAACGCCAAAGGUGAAAACAGGUUGCUGGGGUUGUGCCGACGCUGAGACACGAAAGCCAGGGGAGCAAACGGGAUUAGAUACCCCGGUAGUCCUGGCCCUAAACGAUGUCCACUAGAUUGCGGCGCCUUUGACGGCAUCGCGGUCGAAGCAAAAGUGUUAAGUGGACCGCCUGGGAAGUACGGUCGCAAGGCUAAAACUCAAAGGAAUUGACGGGGGCUCACACAAGCGGUGGAGCAUGUGGUUCAAUUCGAAGCAACGCGCAGAACCUUACCUGGGUUUGACAUGCUAGGAUUAUCUCGAUGAAAGUCGAGUAGGCCCCGCAAGGGGUACAACUAGUACAGGUGCUGCAUGGCUGUCGUCAGCUCGUGUCGUGAGAUGUCGGGUUAAGUCCCUUAACGAGCGAAACCUUUACCCUUAGUUACCAGCGGGUUAUGCCGGGGACUCUAAGGGGACCGCCGGUGUCAAACCGGAGGAAGGUGGAGAUGACGUCAAGUCCUCAUGGCCUUUAUGCCCAGGGCCACACACGUGCUACAAUGGCGUACAUAAAGCGACCCUAAACCGCGAGGUCAUGGAAAUCGCAAAAAUUACGCCCCAGUUCAGAUCGGAGGCUGCAACUCGCCUCCGUGAAGUUGGAAUCGCUAGUAAUCGCGGAUCAGCUACGCCGCGGUGAAUGUGUUCCUGAGCCUUGUACACACCGCCCGUCAAGUCAUGGGAGCCGGGAAUGGCCGAAGUCGCCU
rnacentral:rRNA from 1 species